AUACGGAGGGGGCUAGCGUUGUUCGAAAUUACUGGGCGUAAAGCGCGUGUAGGCGGAUCGUUAAGUCAGGGGUGAAAGCCCGGGGCUCAACCCCGGAACUGCCCUUGAUACUGGCGAUCUAGAGUCCGGAAGAGGUGGGCGGAAUUCCCGGUGUAGAGGUGAAAUUCGUAGAUAUCGGGAGGAACACCAGUGGCGAAGGCGGCUCACUGGUCCGGUACUGACGCUGAGACGCGAAAGCGUGGGGAGCAAACAGGAUUAGAAACCCGGUAGUCC
rnacentral:rRNA from 1 species